ACUCCUACGGGAGGCAGCAGUGGGGAAUAUUGCACAAUGGGGGAAACCCUGAUGCAGCCAUGCCGCGUGUGUGAAGAAGGCCUUCGGGUUGUAAAGCACUUUCAGCGAGGAGGAAAGGGUGUAAGUUAAUACCUUACAUCUUGNGACGUUACUCGCAGAAGAAGCACCGGCUAACUCCGUGCCAGCAGCCGCGGUAAUACGGAGGGUGCAAGCGUUACUCGGAAUCACUGGGCGUAAAGAGCGUGUAGGCGGGUUAUUAAGUCAGAAGUGAAAUCCUAU
rnacentral:rRNA from 1 species